rnacentral:lncRNA from 1 species
UGCUGAUUUUCUCAGUGGUUUAUAAGGUUAUGAAGGGUGAGACUUUCUCCCAAUUAUGACAGAUUGGGCUAAGAUUCGAAUUAUUAAUAUGGUCCCUUUAUUUUGCAGAGAAGCAGGCAACGUGGCUCCCAGGAAAAUGGCUUGAACAGAACCCAUGAGAGGAAGGCUGUCAGUUCAUGGAAGGGUUAUUCAUGAUAAUUUAUCAUUGAGGUCUGGCAGCCAAGAUGGCCGAAUAGGAACAGCUCUGGUCUACAGCUCCCAGCGUGAGCGACGCAGAAGACGGGU